CUUGGGGGUGACUAGUCACAGCACUCUGAGUUGAUGGUUUAUGUCCAUCUGUUAUUCCAGAUGAGCUGAAUUUAGAUUUCCUAUGGCAUAAGGGCAACAACUUGACACCUUCCAGCACCAAAAAGGAAUGAGAAACUCUUGCAUCAUUGUCAGUGGGGAUGAAGGGAAGUCAGCUUCCGCAGUAAUGGUGCUGCACAGUGCCUUAGGAUCAGUCAACUUAAGGCGAAUUCUAAGUUUAAAAACGCCAAUGAAACUGCUCUAUAGUGUUUGACAUCUGAUAGUAUGCAACUUGGCAAAUUAGAUUUCAUUAAAAGGUAGGUGCUCAAAGUAAGAA